rnacentral:tRNA from 1 species
GAGGGGGAGGACCAACCAACAAGAACUGCUAACUCUUGUUCCUGAGCCUAAAACCUCAGCCCCCUUA